rnacentral:ncRNA from 1 species
ACACCCACGGUGUAAGAGGAUAAAAGGGAAUCGGGUGUAAUUCCCGGACAGUUCCCGCUGCUGUAAGUGCUUAAAAUUCCGGACAUUCCGUAUGCCACUGCCUUCGGGUGGGAAGGCGUCCGGUUCGGGCACGAGUCAGAAGACCUGCCUUUGCGUAU